rnacentral:vault_RNA from 1 species
GUGGAGGUGUAGCUCAGCGGCUACUUCGCGUCAAUCUGAGAAUUUGUGCUCUAGUCUUCCGGUUGACAAAUCGGAAGGUUCGAACCGCGAGCGCUGUCCUCUGCUUUU